GUGGGGAAUAUUGCGCAAUGGGGGAAACCCUGACGCAGCGACGCCGUGUGAGGGAAGAAGGCUUUCGGGUCGUAAACCUCUGUCAGAAAGGAAGAACCUCCCAAGUCCGAAUAGGGCUUGGGACUGACGGUACUUUCAAAGGAAGCACCGGCUAACUCCGUGCCAGCAGCCGCGGUAAUACGGAGGGUGCAAGCGUUAAUCGGAAUCACUGGGCGUAAAGCGCGCGUAGGCCGCUUUGUAAGUCGGACGUGAAAGCCCUCGGCUCAACCGGGGAACUGCGUUCGAUACUGCGAGGCUUGAGUCCUGGAGAGGGUGGCGGAAGUCCGGGUGUAGGAGUGAAAUCCGUAGAUAUCCGGAGGAACACCGGUGGCGAAGGCGGCUCACUGGACUGUAACUGACACUGAGGCUCGAAAGCGUGGGGAGCAAACAGGAUUAGAAACCCCUGUAGUCC
rnacentral:rRNA from 1 species